rnacentral:rRNA from 1 species
UACGUAGGGUGCGAGCGUUGUCCGGAAUUAUUGGGCGUAAAGGGCUCGUAGGCGGUUUGUCGCGUCGGGAGUGAAAACCAGGUGCUUAACACCUGGCUUGCUUUCGAUACGGGCAGACUAGAGGUAUGCAGGGGAGAACGGAAUUCCUGGUGUAGCGGUGAAAUGCGCAGAUAUCAGGAGGAACACCGGUGGCGAAGGCGGAUCUCUGGGCCGAUACUGACGCUGAGGAGCGAAAGCGUGGGGAGCGAACAGG